rnacentral:lncRNA from 1 species
AAGGGAUAUAUCUAUUAAUUUUAAUACAUAGAAGACUAAGAAAUUACGAAUAUACUAGGUUUAAACCUUCGGUAAACCGCGGGAUGACUUUAUAAUUUCAUUAAAAUGUUUAUAUUUUAAGUUAUAUUUUUUUUUAUUUUUUUUAGUGUUUAAGAUUCUGUAAUUGUAUUUUGAUUGUUAAUUUUAUGACUCAAAUGCAGUAUACCAC